AACGAACGCUGGCGGCAGGCCUAACACAUGCAAGUCGAGCGGUAAGGCCCUUUCGGGGGGUACACGAGCGGCGAACGGGUGAGUAACACGUGGGUGACCUGCCCUCAGCUCUGGGAUAAAGCCUGGGAAACCGGGUCUAAUACCGGAUAUGACUCCAUGACGCAUGUUGUGGGGUGGAAAAGCCUUGUGCGGCUGAGGAUGGGGCCCGCGGCCUAUCAGCUUGUUGGUGGGGUGANGGGCCUACCAAGGCGAACGACGGGGUAGCCGGCCUGAGAGGGCGACCGGCACACUGGGACUGAGACA
rnacentral:rRNA from 1 species